CCUUUGGUGGCUAGUACCGCAACACCCUUUUAUUGCAGAAUCGUGAGACGGUUCGCGGGCGUUCGUGUGGAUACCGUAGAGACGUAGUUCAUUCAGAUUGCGUUGGAGAUUCGAUCGCAUCAAUUCCAGCUUCAUAAUCGUUAUAAUCUCUUACACACUGAAUUAAUUUCUGUUUCGCAUGGAUCCUGUUUGGGUUUCG
rnacentral:lncRNA from 1 species